GACGAACGCUGGCGGCGUGCCUAAUACAUGCAAGUAGAACGCACAGUUUAUGCCGUAGCUUGCUACACCAUAGACUGUGAGUUGCGAACGGGUGAGUAACGCGUAGGUAACCUGCCUGGCAGCGGGGGAUAACUAUUGGAAACGAUAGCUAAUACCGCAUAAUAUUAAUUAUUGCAUGAUAAUUAAUUGAAAGGUGCAAUUGCACCACUACCAGAUGGACCUGCGUUGUAUUAGCUAGUAGGUGAGGUAACGGCUCACCUAGGCGACGAUACAUAGCCGACCUGAGAGGGUGAUCGGCCACACUGGGACUGAGACACGGCCCAGACUCCUACGGGAGGCAGCAGUAGGGAAUCGUCGGCAAUGGACGAAAGUCUGACCGAGCAACGCCGCGUGAGUGAAGAAGGUUUUCGGAUCGUAAAGCUCUGUUGUAAGAGAAGAACGGGUGUGAGAGUGGAAAGUUCACACUGUGACGGUAUCUUACCAGAAAGGGACGGCUAACUACGUG
rnacentral:rRNA from 1 species